GAACUAAUUCUCUGCGCCCUUUCCCAUCAAAACGACAGCUUCUUUCCACUAAGCUUUCACCCUCACUCCACUUUUAUAAACUCGUUCGUUCCUUCCCCCAUUUCCCCAAAACCAAAACAAGAAAAAUGGAGUGAGCCAUAAACACACAAACUUACACCAAUGGCGCAACAAGCAUCCUCCUCAUUCAUUGGCCUUGACACUGUAGACGACCUUUACUUCUCUAUUGUCUUUGAUCAAGAAACUGACCCUGUUUUUGUCUCCGAUGACAAGUACGCUGAAGCAUUACAGUUCCAAGAAACCUUAAUGGCCUCUGCCAUCACUUCUCACCAAAACCACUCGUCCUCUUUCUCCUCUUCACCACCACCAUUUUUUCCGUGCGUAGCGUCUUCAUCAAAAACUGUCGAUGAUGAGUUACUGUUCAACGAAACCCUUAUGAAGUCACUCGUCAUUUCCCAAAAUGCAUCCUCAUCCACGUCACCUCCAUUGCUCUGCGUAGCAUCUUCAUCAGAGGUAGUUGAUGUUGCCGCUGUCGUUAAGACUGAACAGGCAAAGGUCUUUACCCAAGAAACAGAUGAACCCUCUUCAAUCACUGUUUGUGAGAUUUGUGCGGAAACAAAAACGACUGAUGAAAUGUUCAGAAACCUGAGAUGUUAUCAUUCAUUUUGUUCUGAAUGUGUUGUCAAACAAGUGGCUACAAAAAUCCAAGACAACAUAACAAAUGUGUCUUGUCCUGGUUUGAACUGCAAGGGUGUGUUAGAGCUUGAAUCUUGCAGGUCAUUGCUUCCAAAAGAGUUGAUUGAUAGGUGGAAUGAUGCAUUGUGUGAGGCUUUUUUUCUUGCUGUUCCUAAGUUCUAUUGUCCCUUUAAGGAUUGCUCUGCUAUGAUGCUGGAUGAAAAUGAAGAUGGACAAGAUAUUAGGGAAUCUGAGUGACCCUUUUGUCAUAGACUGUUUUGUGCAAGGUGUCAUGUCACGUGGCAUCCUAGGGUUGGUUGUGAGGAGUUUCAAACAAUGAAUGUGGAUGAAAGAGGAAGGGAAGAUCUCCUUGUGAGGGAGCUGGCUAAUAAGAAAAAGUGGAAAAGGUGUCCAAGAUGUAGAUUCUAUGUUGAAAAAAAUGAUGGAUGUUUGCAUAUAUCACGUGCAGGUGCAAAUUUGAGUUUUGCUAUGCGUGUGGUGCAGGAUGGACAUCUUCUCAUGGUGGUUGUCAAAGAAAUUAGAUAGAUGCAAGAAGGAUGAAAAUAUAUUUCUUGUGGUUGUUUGAUAUGGAUCGGGGAAGUUUGUUACUGUUUAAAGAGACAGAUUACAGAAUAUAAGCAAGUCUGGCUGUCUAGGAUCUCUAGUUUUUUUUGUUUGGUCUUGUAGCCUAGUGGUUAGAGCUCACACAAUUAAAUGUGGAGAAGUGGGGUGUCCGGGGUUCGAACCUCAGCCCCUGCAUAAAUUAUGCAAUGUCCCUGCCAACUGAGCUAAGCUCACGGGGACUCUAGGAUCUCUAGUUUAGUAAGAUGUUUUGUAAGAAAAAUAUGUUGCGUGAUCCUUUUGAAAGUGUACUUGCUAAGUUGCUAUUGCUUAUCGUGAAUCAUGCUCGUCUAGCUCUAUCUUGUGUUUACCAAAAUCUUAUAAUGUGCUUUUACUCAAGAGACAAGAAAGCAAGAAUUCCCUUUUCUCAGACAUGCACGAUGUACGUCACUUUCUCGUUUACUUGACGGAUUUUGUUGUUUACAUGAGACUACCAAAAAAUUAACUCUUUUUGAAGUCUACAGUUGGAUUAUAUGUUGAAAAAAUCGGAUAUUCUCGAAUCUUUAUUUUGAGGGAGGGGGAGCUAUCCACAAGUGUUGCCGGUUCUUGUGAGAGUGAACUAUUGGAGCUGCUCUCAGUCAAAACCUUACGAAGGGAAACUAUAUGCACCACUAAACUCGAGCAUUUUACAUGCUACUUGCCUAUUUGCAAUGAUAUUGUUCUACCAAAGGAAAUAUCACUUCUUAAAGGCACAAGUGAAUUGCACCAAAUAUUCAACUCGUGAGAAAAAGGCAAGAGAAGAGAAAGCAAUGAAAUGAAAAUAGAAGUUAUAGAUAUUAGGGUGGAAGCAGAAGACGAUCUAAGUGUGCUUAAACAAACCAUUUAACAAUAGGCAAUUGAGAAUAAAUUAAAUAAACAAUGAAUUGCGUUACACGCUCCGUGGAAAAAUAGUCGUGUCUUCUUGUGAAGGAUAUGCUAUUGUCAGAAACAUGUUUUGAUCAAGAUGAUAGUUAAGUUUACCAACUAAAGUCUAGAAACAACUGC